UACAUCGCCAUAGAGUAGUUGAAAAACAAAAAGGGGUUCCGAAAGUACAAGUUGUUGCUGUGACUGAAUCGAUGAUUGAGAGGGUCGUCUCGACGAAAGAUAUAGAAAUUUGGCCAUAGUUUAGAUUAGGAAUACGUCAAUGUAAUAAUAGUGGACUAAAUGUUUCGUCCGUGCAGAAUGGCACUUUUUACCUCACGAAAUUCACCACCAUGCAUAGCUGCGCUACGUAAACAAAGUUGUUGAUGUAGCGUGAUCGUGAUGUCCGAGUGCUGCGAGUUUCAAUACUGUUUAUGUAGUCAUUGAGAGUUUAAACAAAGUUUCUUCUGAGAAGAGGAAUUCGAUGGAUGCAUUCAACGUGGACAACGAAAUCAUAAUUUCGUUUGCAUCAUCCUAAGGACCAGUGCAAGUUGAAGUGGGCUUCCAGCCAACAACUUCAACAGCAAUUUGCCAUGAAAAUCAGCAAGAAAGGUACUUCAUUUACAUUGAUGAUGUCAUAUCCCCUGGACCCCACAACUUUACAGGUUACAGAGAAAAUUCAAGAACUUCUGCACAAUGUGGGACUCGGAUAGAAUCAAUAAUGUAUUUGUGAGCCCAGAUAUAUUGUGCAACAUACUAAAGUGUGAAUUUAAUGGAAAACAAGUACAUGUACUCAUGUAUUACAUGUCUUUUUUAAAGACAAUAAUAUUGUAUAAAUAUAGAGGAAGUGUCAUUGUUGAUUAUUCUAAGUUUUUGAUAUACCAAAAUCAGUAAACAUUUGUAAAUGAAAAUAAAAUACCAAUUUUAUAACUUUAAUCAAUGUGUUUGAAUUUCUCAUUUUCUAACCCCCCUCCCACCCCACCCCCGUUACACACACUCAGUGCAUAUAUACUGUGAAUGCAAUAUGCAUGCAUUCUAAGUUAUCCAAGCGAGUUUUUGUUUCAGUGUGAGACUACAAGUAGGACUCAUAAACUUAUGAAGAGACAUAUAUAUUUGUGAGAGCAAGAUAGCUGAUAUGAGCCUUGAGAUCAAUGGGUCGAGCCGCGGUGGUGGUCUAGAGGUUAGAGCGUUCGCCCCGCAUGCGGAAGGCCAGGGUUCGAACCGGCGCGAGCCCCCCUAAAAUUUUCAAGUUUAAAGUAAAUCGUGGUCUCUUGUUUAGAGAAAUAUAUACGAUAAAAGAAGCCAUAAUUUCCUCCACUCUCAGAGAAAUAAAUGUCUGACAAAAUCUUUUGAUUUAUUGAAUUACUUUUAGUGGGAGAACUGCUACUUUUUCCAAAAACCCUUAAAAUUUGCGUUAUUUUAUUAGUUUCACCUUAUUAAAAAUGACAGAAAAUAAUAAAAAUGACUACAUAGGAGACAUAUUUUAAGCCCUAAAAAAUCUGUAAAAUCCAGGAGUUUCUGGGGAAUCGCCCCCCUCCCUUCAAGGCGGCCCCCAGACCCCUGCCUCAUACAGUUGCACCCCCCCCCCUCCCAACUUCAAUUCCUGAUCCGCCCCUGAAAUAGCUUAUAGAAACCUUCUUAUUGUCAUGUUCAAUUUUCAAAGAGGUAAUUUGGGAAUGCUUAAACAUUCUAAGUUAUAAAAAGGUCAGUAGUUUAUCUCUGCUGGCUGAAUCUUUCUUCUCAAUGCACCGAGUGCAAUUCAUGACGUCUAUGUUCCUGCUCAUUCUUUCUCCUCCAUACCAUACAGUAUAUUAAAGGGGUUGGGAUGUAAUGGAGACAUUUGUUUUAACAAAUAUAAAUUGUAUUUCAAUUUUUUGUGGGAAUUUUUAUUUGGGAAAACUCUUGAUAUUAAUCAUCAAAUAUGAUGACGUAUGAUAAAUCUAUAUUCUGAGUGUAAGUGCACAAAGGUCAACAACGAGAACUACAACAAAAUAUAAGCUACAAUUUGAAAUACAUACUUUCUGUAUUAUAUUUAUUAAUUUAAAAAAGGUAUUACAAAGAAUCUUCGAAUUUCAGCAAGCUGUUUUUGAUGGAUUGUUUACAACAUCUUUUAAUAACCCAUUUUCUUACGAAAAUGUGUAGUUUGUUAAAAGGGGGUGGGGUUAGGAAUUUUUUACUAGUUCCAUAUUGAACCCCAUUAUGGUGUAUAAUUUUUUUCAUAUAUUUUACUGACUAAUAGACUGACCACUUAAUGAAAUAAAAUAAGAAAUUUGAUGGGUAAUUUUUUUGCAGCUUAAGCAAAGGUAUGACCCUGUGUGCAAAUAUUGUGCACUGUUUUAAGGUAAUUGGCCAAUGUAGCUCUGUUGAAGUAAUGUUGUUGCAUGUUAAUAAUGAUUGCUGAACUUGAAAUUGAUGUGUAAUAUACAAUUAUGUGAAAGGUUGUUUGGAACCAUAUAUGACAAGUUAUGAUCCUUUUUACAAUAAAAAUGUUAUAGCUCUAUUUGUA